rnacentral:rRNA from 1 species
GAUCCUGGCUCAGAAUCAACGCUGGCGGCGUGCCUAACACAUGCAAGUCGAACGAGAAAGUGGAGCAAUCCAUGAGUAAAGUGGCGACCGGGUGAGUAACACGUGACUAACCUACCCUGAAGUGGGGAAUAACCUCGGGAAACCGGGGCUAAUACCGCAUAACAUCGCGAGCUGUAAACGCUUGUGAUCAAAGGAGCAAUUCGCUUUAGGAGGGGGUCGCGGCUGAUUAGCUAGUUGGUAAGGUAACGGCUUACCAAGGCUUAGAUCAGUAUCCGGCCUGAGAGGGCACACGGCCACACUGGCACUGAAACACGGGCCAGACUCCUACGGGAGGCAGCAGUGGGGAAUCUUGCACAAUGGAGGAAACUCUGAUGCAGCGACGCCGCGUGAGCGAUGAAGCCCUUCGGGGUGUAAAGCUCUUUCGACGGGAACGAUAAUGACGGUACCCGAAGAAGAAGCUGCGGCUAACUACGUGCCAGCAGCCGCGGUAAUACGUAGGCAGCAAGCGUUGUUCGGAAUUACUGGGCGUAAAGAGUGUGUAGGCGGUGUUCUAAGUCUGUUGUGAAAUCUCCCGGCUUAACUGGGAGGGUGCGGCGGAGACUGGAAUGCUAGAGUAUGGGAGAGGUAAGCGGAAUUCCUGGUGUAGCGGUGAAAUGCGUAGAUAUCAGGAGGAACACCUGUGGUGUAGACAGCUUACUGGACCAUGACUGACGCUGAGACACGAAAGCGUGGGUAGCAAACAGGAUUAGAUACCCUGGUAGUCCACGCCCUAAACGAUGCAUACUUGGUGUGAGCCAUUCAUUUGGUUCGUGCCGGAGCUAACGCGUUAAGUAUGCCGCCUGGGGAGUACGGUCGCAAGGCUGAAACUCAAAGGAAUUGACGGGGGCCCGCACAAGCGGUGGAGCAUGUGGUUCAAUUCGACGCAACGCGAAGAACCUUACCUGGGCUCGAACGGCUUUGGAUCGACGGUGGAAACACUGUUUUCCCGCAAGGGACCGGAGUCGAGGUGCUGCAUGGCUGUCGUCAGCUCGUGUCGUGAGAUGUUGGGUUAAGUCCCGCAACGAGCGCAACCCUUGUCCUGUGUUGCCACUCCCGUAAGGGAAGCACUCUCAGGAGACCGCCAGCGAUAAGUUGGAGGAAGGUGGGGAUGAUGUCAAGUCAUCAUGGCCUUUAUGUCCAGGGCUACACACGUGCUACAAUGGUCGGUACAAAGCGCUGCAAACCCGCGAGGGGGAGCUAAUCGCAAAAAGCCGGCCUCAGUUCGGAUUGCAGGCUGCAACUCGCCUGCAUGAAGCUGGAAUCGCUAGUAAUGCCGUAUCAGAACGAUGGCGUGAAUACGUUCCCGGGCCUUGUACACACCGCCCGUCACAUCACGAAAGUGGAUUGUACUAGAAGUCUGCAUGCUGACCCGCAAGGGGGGCAGCGGCCCAAGGUAUGAUUCAUGAUUGGGGUGAAGUCGUAACAAGGUAACC